GGGACGGAGCCCGCCGCGCCCGGAACUAGGCCUUGCCGCGGCGGCGGGAGCGCCCAUGGUGAUGCUGCCGCGAGGGGGCGGUGCCGGGCCGGAGGGGGGCGGAGCGUUGCCAUGUCGGAGGCGGUAGCGGCGGCGGGGAUGGCGGCGGCUGCUAUGGCGGAGGCGCGGCUGCGGCGGAAGCAGCUGUUGAGCGCGGAGGAGACGGAGCUGUUCGAGCUGGCGCAGGCGGCGGGCAGCGGGUUGGACCCGGAGGUGUUCCGGGUGCUGCUGGACCUGCUGCGCAUGAACGUGGCUCCGCUCGCCGUCUUCCAGGUGCUCAAGUCCAUGUGCGCCGGGCAGCGGCUGCCGCCGGGACCCGAGGGCGGCCCCCCCGCCGCGCCGGCGCCGCUCCCCGCCGACACCCGAGAGUCCCCUGAGGACGGCCGGGUGUCCGGCCCGCUCCCCACCGCCUCCGCCCUGCGGCCGCCGCGGCUCGGGAGCCGCCCGCCGUCCUCCCGGGCCUUCCCCGCCGCCGGCCCGCUGCCCCGCCGCCUCCCCGCGCCCCCUGCUGGCCGCCCCUCUCGCUCCGCUGCGGGGAGGGGGCGGCCGGGCCCGAGGAGGGGCUCGGCCGGCCCCCGGGGGGCUCGCUCGGUGUGAGCCUGGGGGAGAGAGCCUGGGCCACCCGCGCCCCCGUCUGCUGCCAGCACCUCCUUUUUUCUUCAUUUUUAUUCUUCUUAGGCAGUGUGGGGGGCCGGGUGUCGCGAGGGGGAGGUCCCUGUGGUCACUUGUGAUAGACUUUGUAGCCCCCUGGCUCUGCUCUCCAAGCCUUUAACAAAAAAAAAAAAAACCCCACAACAAAAAAAACCCACAAAUCCUUAAUACACAGUAUUACACAGUGCUGUUUCACUUGUAUCUAACAAAAAAAAAAGUGAAAUUUCUGGUACAUUAGGAAUGGCUGGGAAAUGAGGGGAGCUGCAAUGCUUCCUCUGCUCCAUCCCCAUGUAUGGUGGUAGCAGUUUCCAUGCCCAGUGGAUGGUAUUUAGGUGAGAAUGUGAAAUGGGAGGCUGUAUGGGAUUUUUGGCUAAAAUAAUGACUGCUUUUAAAUGUCGUUAUCUUUCGUUACUGCUCUAAUCUUAGUGGACAGUAACAAAUGUAGCCCUGAAGCUGUGCCACAUAUAUAUUUUAAAUUUCUUUUUUCUUCCAAACUAGUUCUAAUAAAACUUUUACUUACUCCUCGAACUUCCUGACAUGACUUUUGGCUGGUUGCUCACAACCUACGUGGAUUACUUCCAAAAGUUUUAAAAAGAGGUAACUAAAAUAAGUCCACUGUUAAGCUUGAAUUCACUGUGAAAAGGCACUCGUUUCUCUCGUGCUCAAAAAUAUAGUAGAAAGGGGCAGUGGCCAAAACAGCAAGGUUUUGUGAUCGUUGUCUGUGGUUGCCAAGAACAAAAUUGCACACGAAAAGCUUGGCUUUCUGUGUUCUGCCCUCCCAGUAAUGUGGGUGCGCUUAUUCACCCAGUGGGAGCAUAGAAAUGGCUGAGGUCAAGUCAAAAUUGUGUUGUUGUCUCCUUUUCUCCCUUCCUCUCUCUGUUUCAGGGUGGAAAAUGUUGUAGCUAAUGGGUCUUUGUUGACCCAUGAUGAAUUUUGAGUCAAAACUUGAGAAGUCACUGUCAGCAAGGAUUGUGCUGGGAACACAGAGAAUGGGGCAAGAAAGAAAAGCUUUGUCGACAUAGGUAAUGGGAGCAGGGUGGGGGAAAGUAAGGUUUCCCUGUCGUGGUAGUGUACUAUCACUUAGUCUAGCCUUACUGCUGAGGCUGCCUUGGUGGUACGGAGUGUUGCAUCUCAUGGCUAUGCUUGCAAAUCUGGUGGUAGGUCCUACAGAAAGUGAAGUUGAAAGGCAAGAUUCAUUUGACCUGCUGUAAGCAGUCAGUUUUAGGGUAAGGUUGAUUAUGCCACAAUCUGAGGCACCUUCACAGCAGAGCCUGCUGCUCCUGGUGUGGAUUCCCACAUGGUAAAUGGGUGAGAAUCACUUCAUUUGAGCAGCUGUGGGUGGUUGUGCGGAGACUCUGAGGAAGUUUGCUAAAGCCCAAAUGGGAUUAGAGUGUGCAGAUAAAGUGGCCGGAACUCCAUGGGCUUCACUGUGAACAGGUUCCUCUUUCUCAAGAGAUGCUGUUGAUUAAGAAUUUCCUGCAGAGAAGUUGGUUGCGGUAAAGAGAACAGCUUUACCUGUGAUUGAGAAGUGACUCUAAAGAUGCACAGGGGAAAAAGAAGAUACCCAGCUGACUGCUUUUUCCUGAGCAAAAUGAGAGAGGUGUGAUGGGCCACUCAAACUAUGAUGGAAUCUUGGAGCUGCUGCGGGAAAGGGGAACCAAAGCUGUAUCUGCUGUUGGCUCUGCUAUCUGUUGUUGGAAGAUGCUGCUUCCGUUUAAGAGGAGGAUGGUGCGGCGUCCAUGCAGGAACAGGCAUUUGGAGAUGGGAGAUCCUUCCUCUGCACAGCUGGGACUUGUGUCUGCUGAUAAAGCCAGAGCUCCUCAUGCUGAUACAAAGAACAGUGAUUGUCCUAUAUAAGCUUGCCAAGCUGCUUUGCUCUGUGUCCUUCAGCUCUGCGUAUCUGCUUUUUCUCCUGUGCUUCCUCCUUUGUCAGAAGACAGACAAGUGGCUGAAGUAAUCCAGGUCUCACUGAAGAUUGACCAAGACUGCUCUGAGUUUUAUUGGUAACAAUGAGAUAGUGGCUUAGGCUUCUCAGCCCAUCAUGGUGCAGGGAGGUUUUUUAAAGCAGAUUAAAAAAGAUAGUUAUAGUGUUUCUGAACACUGUGGGCAGGGGUUGUGGGCAGAGGUGUGGUGUGUGUACCCCUGGUAGUUAUUUCAGCCUUUUUACAGCUAGAGAAACAGGGAGUCUAAUAUGAAUGACUUUAUUUUGCAUUUUCCCAUAGAAUAUAGCCAUGGUGUUCUUCAUGGAGCUGUGUUUGCUGGUAACUGAAUUUGUGAUAGCUGGCUCAGAAUUACUGUGUUUGAGUGUUGGAGCAUUUGUCUGGCAUAUUUAGCUAGACACAACUUCAUGCAAGUUAUUGAGAUGAUUCCUCAAGUUAUUCAUUUGGGAGGAAAAGAGCUGAUUUUAAAGACAGAGGAUAUCUGUGCAAUUUCUUUCUAUGUGUGUAAGGAGGAGAUGCGCAUAUCUGUUAGAACAGUGGUAUUGGUUUUGGCCUAUAAUAGGUAUGUGUAUAGUUUAUCUUUGUGUAUUUUAAUAUGCCUUUUUCUUAUGUAUUAUUCCCAUGUUUUCUGUUCCCAUCAGCCAACCCUCAAGCAGCUGGUGGUUUCCCUGUAGUUUUCUACCUCUCCAUUGACAUGCAUGUGUCAAUGCCCUGCUCUUCUUUUUUUCUAGGUUGAUUAAUAUUCUUUGAUACCUCUCUCACUCUUUGCAUUCCAACUUGUUUUUCCACAUUCCCCACUUUCCCAGCCCAAGUGUCUUUCAUAAAGUUACUUCCUAGAGCUUUGCCCCACCUACUAAAUGCAUUGUUAACAUGAGCAUGCUUUUCAAAAUCUUGUCUCCAUUGUGGACCUAUCACCUGGUUUAUGGAUUUUAAGGCUCCAAGGAACCAUUGCAGCCUCCUAUCUUGUAUCGCAGGGGGCAGAAUGCUUUCCUACCCCAUGAAACUCUGUUGCACUUAGGCACUGGUUGGAAAUCCCACUGAGCCCACCACCAGUCAUGGGUUUGGUGAAAGGUUCAGGGGGUGUUUUCCAUGUCUGCAUGGAAAAAUAUGCUUUUGAGAAUCAUAAGUUCCUUUUCUGCCCAUGAAUUUGUAACUACCUUCUUCCUGGGUAAAAACUUAGAUACGAUGAAGGUCCCUUCUAAGUCCUGCUGUUUAAUUACUUCCUAAAUAUCCCCCCCUACUGUGCGUCUUGUUGCCAACUUUGUCCUCCCCUAUGUCUUCCUCUUGCCAUCCUUGUGUUUUGUAGCAUUCCCUAGUUAUCUGUUUUUCUCACUUAUUUCUUGCACUGUCUGGGUUGUCUGUCUUUGCGGACACCCUUUUGGGAUGAUGACUGUUGCUGCAAGGACCCACAGUGACUGGUAUUCCUCUUGGGUACUGCUGGCUGGCUAUGUUGCUGCUUUGCACUUCUCUUACACUCACCCUUGACUUACUCAACCUCACAUUAUCUCAGUGUUCAUCUGGUUGCAGGAUUUGUAAUGCAGUCUUCUAUAUUAAGGAGAUGAGGUAGCUGACCAGGAUGAUGCUAUGUGGAGCUUGGGUGUGUUGCAGGGAAUCCCCCCAGAGAUGCUAAGAAUUUCUCUUAAGUGUAUUUAAUCUGUUUUACAGUGAAUUUUCCUGUUGGUUAUACUGGCUAUCAUGCCUUAAUUGUAGAUUAAAUAUAUCCAUGGGAUCUAACUGACAGCAAUGCAAAUUGUGCCAUGCACCAGUAAAUGUUGUACUUUGACACUUCAUGGUCUGUAUGUCUUCCCUGGGGGGAAAAAAAAAUAAAAAUCUGUGGAGUGAUCUAUAGAUGACUUACAUAACUGAUCAAAGUACUAAUACAAUCCUGAUCAUGGUUUUUUUUUAAUGUAGUUGCUUCACGCAUACCCAGUUUAUUUUUUUAGUACUUCAUCAACACCACUCCAAUAAGUUGGUUUCCUAAAUUCAGUAAGGAGCAGUUAGAUUGCCUUCCAGAUCUCUGUCCUGCACCUAUCAUUCCCUCUAACUUUCUGCCAUAAGCAGUAGAGUUCAAGCCUUUUGAAUUAGAGGCCUUUAUUCUUGUUUUGUGAAAUGAUGGACAUGGUAAUUACACAGGGCAAGAAGUUUUAUGUUCAGAGCAUUCCUGAUGUGGAGUUGUUGCUUUCCUUCCCCCUUCCCACCAGUUUCCCAUCCCAAAAUGCUUUUUUUUUAAAUUUUAACUUUUCUGUAUUGUAGGCAUUUUAGUCCAUCAGCAACUGAAUAGUUUCAAUUUAUAGGCCUUGUUCACCUUGUGGUACAGAAAUUAUGAUAAAGUAUUUCUGGAUUGCAGGUGCCGAUGUCAGCUAUUUUACAAGGAAUUUGCAUUUCUCAGCUGUACUGUGCUUUCUUGGAUGGUUGAAAGUCCCUUGGUUGAAAGUUCCAGCUCCUUUUCUCUCCCAGGAGUUUAUAAUAAAUUUCAAUACUCUCAAAAAUACAGGUGAUGGGUAGUGAAGUGGUUUUUUCUACUUCAGCAGAAACAGUGGACAAACAGCUUUUAUUUCUUUUUCCUUAUCCCAGGAAUAACUUGCAAAAAGUCCAGGUUGGAAUGCUAAAAACUUGAUGUGGAGGUGGUCUCCAAAGAAUAGGUGGCUUCAUUGUUCCCAUGAAAAUGUAUUUUGCUCUGGGUAAUGUACUUUGAAAACUGAAGUUGAAACAUACUUGUUAUUUUAUGGAAUGUUUACCUUCUGAAUGAGGAAAAAGCCGUACUUUAUGCUGUGAUGCAUCCUGCAGUACUGUCUUUUGGGAAGGAAUCUAUUUAAGACUUCCUCUUGUCAGAGUAACUUUUUUAAGGGGAAAAAAUGUAUUAUCUGAAAGGCGUAUGCUUCUUCCAUAGUCGUCUUAUUUUCAGUGUGCUAUGUUCUUUGCAGUACUGUGCAUAUGGUGGGAACCUGUUGCAAACUUGCCAGAUUAUUUAGCUACCAGUAUGUGGCUGUGUCCGUAGGAGAAGCUGGUGGCUUUUGAACAGGCCACAGUUCUAGAGGAAAACACUGCAUGCAGAUGUAUUCCCUGAAGGUACUGGGAUCCCUUCAGUAGCCUGGGUGGUUCUGUGCAAUGUUUUUAUAUAUACUGUAGGUGUGAUGGAUGUGGAUGGGCAAGUUAAUGCGGAUGGAUGGCUAAAACCAGGACUUGGGUGGAUUUGGCAGCGCUGUCACAGUGAGCAGAUAGCAGAGAGGACUGAUCUAUGGCCAGCCUAGGUCUCUCUCCGGUCACACUUUCCCUGCAGAAGGCUUGCACGUUUACCUGAGGCUGUGAGGUGGCUUCUCUGCUGGGUAGUUGAGCUAAACACUGCUCUAGGAUCAUUUUUUUCGUAUGUCUUUUCAGGGUGAUUGUGCUGGUUUUGGCUGAGAAGGGGUUAAUUCUCUUCACUGUGGGGGGUCGGGUACCUUUCCAGCUUCCCGCGCUCUGGCUGGGAGGGGCGGGGCCACGGCGGGGGCGGCUGACCCCAACUGGCCAAUGGCAGGUUCAAUCCAUACCACAUGACGCCAGGACCAGUAUCCUGAGGGGGGGCAGUUGCGGCUCGGGGGGGCGGGUCGGCGGGCGGCUGCGGCGCGUGCGGUUUGUUUCGGCGGUUCGUUCCCCUCCCCCCCUUCCAACCCCCCGGGUUUCGCGCCUCUUAUUGUUUUCCUUUCCAUUGACUUUUUUUUAAAAUUUUAAUUAUUAAACUAUUCUUAACCCA